UACGGCCACAUCAUGUUGAAACACCGAUUCUCGUACGAUCAUUGAUGUUAGGCAACGUCGCGCCUGGUCAGUACCUAGACGGUUGACCGCUUGUGAAUACCAGGUGCUGCAAU